GAUGGACGCUAGCGGCAGGCCUAAUACAUGCAAGUCGGACGGGAUUCAGGAGCUUGCUUCUGAUGAGAGUGGCGCACGGGUGCGUAACACGUAUGUAACCUACCUUUAUCAGGGGGAUAGCCUCUCGAAAGAGAGAUUAAGCCCGCAUAAAAUCACAGCACAGCAUUGUGUAAUGAUCAAAUAUUUAUAGGAUAAAGAUGGGCAUGCGGAACAUUAGCUAGAUGGCGGGGUAACGGCCCACCAUGGCGACGAUGUUUAGGGGAUCUGAGAGGAUGGCCCCCCACACUGGUACUGAGACACGGACCAGACUCCUACGGGAGGCAGCAGUAAGGAAUAUUGGUAAAUGGGCGGAAGCCUGAACCAGCCAUGCCGCGUGCAGGAAGACGGCCCUACGGGUUGUAAACUGCUUUUAUACGGGAAUAAACCCAGAUACGUGUAUCUGGCUGAAUGUACUGUAAGAAUAAGGAUCGGCUAACUCCGUG
rnacentral:rRNA from 1 species